rnacentral:rRNA from 1 species
UACGUAGGGUGCGAGCGUUGUCCGGAAUUAUUGGGCGUAAAGAGCUUGUAGGCGGUUUGUCGCGUCUGCUGUGAAAUCCGGGGCUCAACCCUCGGACUUGCAGUGGGUACGGGCAGACUAGAGUGUGGUAGGGGAGACUGGAAUUCCUGGUGUAGCGGUGGAAUGCGCAGAUAUCAGGAUGGAACACCGAUGGCGAAGGCAGGUCUCUGGGCCACUACUGCGCUGAGACGAAGCAUGGGGAGCGAACG